rnacentral:rRNA from 1 species
GCUUCUAUGACGUUAGCGGCGGACGGGUGAGUAACACGUGGGCAACCUGCCUGUAAAACUGGGAUAACUUCGGGAAACCGAAGCUAAUACCGGAUAGGAUCUUCUCCUUCAUGGGAGAUGAUUGAAAGAUGGUUUCGGCUAUCUCUUACAGAUGGGCCCGCGGUGCAUUAGCUACUUGGUGAGGUAACGGCUCACCAANNCAACGAUGCAUAUCCGACCUGAGAGGGUGAUCGGCCACACUGGGACUGACACACGGCCCAGACUCCUACGGGAGGCAGCAGUAGGGAAUCUUCCGCAAUGGACGAAAGUCUGACAGAUCAACGCCGCGUGACUGAUGAAGGCUUUCGGCUCGUAAAACUCUGUUGUUAUGAAAAAACAAGUACGAGAGUAACUGCUCUUACCUUGACGGUACCUAACCAGAAAGCCACGGCUAACUACGUGCCAGCACCCGCGGUAAUACUUAUGUGGCAAGCUUUAUCCAGAAUUAUUGCGCGUAAAGCGCGCGCGGGCGGUUUCUUAUUUCUUAUGUGAAAGCCNCCGGCUCAACCGUGGCAGGGUCUUUGNGAAACUGGGGGAAUUUUGAGU